AAUAUUGGACAAUGGGUGAAAGCCUGAUCCAGCCAUCCCGCGUGAGGGAUGACGGUCCUAUGGAUUGUAAACUUCGUUUGUUCAGGAAUAAACCUACUCUCGUGAGAGUAGCUGAAGGUACUGUACGACUAAGCCUCGGCUAACUCCGUGCCAGCAGCCGCGGUAAUACGGACGGUGCAAGCGUUAUCCGGAUUUAUUGGGUUUAAAGGGUCCGUAGGCGGACCCGUAAGUCAAUGGUGAAAUCUCAUAGCUUAACUAUGAAACUGCCAUUGAUACUGCGGGUCUUGAGUAAAUUUGAAGUGGCUGGAAUAAGUAGUGUAACGGUGAAAUGCAUAGAUAUUUCUUAGAACACCAAUUGCGAAAGCAGGUCACUAAGAUUUAACUGACGCUGAUGGACGAAAGCGUGGGUAGCGAACA
rnacentral:rRNA from 1 species